ACACGACGGGUCAUUUAGUUUCGCUUAGUUUGUUGUUUGCUUGCUGUUCAGUCUGAAGAAUGUUCAGUUUCAUUGGUAAAAGUGCAGUACAGACUACAGGUUGUGUCGGUUUAUAACGUGUCACGUAUGAUUCCCUGCAAUAUCGACGAAUAACCGUCGGACAACAGUUCGCGUAGUUGGAAUAAAUCUGCCAGCGAUCACACCACGGCUUCGGUGUGUUGUGUCGGUAUUCGAAACAACGGACCUAGUAAACAUUGACAAAGUGCUGGAUGAUUUAGAAUUGAAUGAGGAUGACGGGCGCCGCAACUGCCAGAGAACGAUUGACACCAGAAUGCUAAUUCAACGCGGAACGGACUCUUUGAAUGGAGGAAAGUCGGAACCAACGUCGGCCAGUGCACGACAAACCUAAGUUGAAGGAAAACGAAAAAUCUCGGCUGCGGGACAUCGUAAUUACGUAGCGAGGCUCCUCGACGCAAACGCCGACGGUGGUCAGUAAUUACCGAAAUAAUCAACUUCAACUUGCGCGGCCAGCACGUCCGCAUGGCCGAUACCCGGGCGAACAUCUGCUACGCUUUACGCCGAUGUAAUGGUUUCUCAGCCCAUGCUGCGAAGAGUCCCGGCACCGACUCAAGCGAGCCGGAGCACAAUGACAGAGGAAAGCGUAAGGCGCGAUGCUGUGUAAGAAUUGAAUGCGCCAAAAAGGAGCACCGUUCCGCGAAAACGAUUUUACAUUUGCCACCCAACAGCGUUGUUCGCUUGCUGGUGUUUGCUUCGGUGGCCGCAGGAGUUGUCGGCCGAGAAGAAGUAAUGCUCGCCCAGCGAGGAAAGGCAACGCAGUCGCAAAGGCAGCCCAUAGAACCGGAGUCAGCUGAGACGAUGAAGCUGCUCCUGACCCACGACGAUCGAUCAUAUGAAGCACCACAGAUGGUAGCCCUUCGGAUGAUGCUGUUAAGGAUGAUCAAACCACUUCUGAAGCCACCUUAAUGGUAGUUUCAGUUCGACUCAUCUAUUUCGUCGGAUUCGCAAACAUCGUCGAUUGCCAGAGCGUUGUUGCUUCUCCGAUAGGUCAUCCGAACCCACCUCUUAACCGAUAGAUUAUA